rnacentral:rRNA from 1 species
GAUGAACGCUGGCGGCGUGCUUAACACAUGCAAGUCGAACGGGAAACCUUUUAUUGAAGCUUCGGCAGUUCUUGCUGGUUUCUAGUGUCGGACGGGUGAGUAACUCACGGGUAACCUUCCUUAUACAUGGGGAUAACAGUCAGAAAUGGCUGCUAAUACCGCAUAUGCGCACACAGCUGCAUGGCUCAGUGUGUAAAGCUCUGGUGGCAUAAGAUGGACCCGCGUUGGAUUAGCUGGUUGGUGGGGUAACGGCCCACCAAGGCGACGAUCCAUAGCCGGCCUGAGAGGAUGAACGGCCACACUGGGACUGAGACACGGCCCAGACUCCUACGGGAGGCAGCAGUGGGGAAUAUUGCACAAUGGGGGAAAGCCUGAUGCAGCGACGCCGCGUGAAGGAAGAAGUAUUUCGGUAUGUAAACUUCUAUCAGCAGGGAAGAUAAUGACGGUACCUGACUAAGAAGCCCCGGCUAACUACGUG